AGCAACACAAUUAGAUGAAACUGGAUAGAUAGAUAGAUAGAUAGAUAGAUAGAUAGAUAGAUAGAUAGAUAGAUAGAUAGAUAGAUAGAUAGAUAGAUAGAUAGAUAGAUAGAUAGAUAGAUAGUACCAGUGGGUGUUGCUGUUGAGUCCAUUUGAUCUGUGGUGGUGGGUACCUGAGCCGUUGACACUGCAGAGGAAGAGGGGAAAGCCACAUUUUAAUCAUCAAAAACACAAGUCAAAGAACCCUCAUUGCAAGGCCUCGAUACAGGACACUUUACAGAAAGAACAAAGAACGCAUUUAAAGGGGAACUCCACCUGCGAGGAUCAGUUUUCUCAUAAUGAGCCUGUGAAACUGUUGGUAUGAUGUCUUCUGGAGCCUUCUAACCCUGAUGAUGUCAUGCACAUGGGAAUUUACCUGGCAGAUUUUCCAACUAUUGCUAUAAGGCUGCAGGAUUGGUGUGAGUGAUUGUGGCCCAACAGCAUUACCGAAAUGAACAGCACAAACCUAGACUGUUUCAGCAGACAAAGCCUGCAAUUCAUCCACACUAGCAGAGGACAGUCUUUGUCCAGAGUGCUGGGGAGGCUUUUGGAUCUGCUUGUCCUCUGUCACAUUUCUAUGGUUUCGCUAAAGAAAAGUUAACACUUUAUAAUAAGCAUCUUUAAUACAGUAUGCAUUGUGACCCUCCUUGGUAUAAUAACAUCUUAUGCCUCCAGCCAUCCAUAUUAUGAUAUGUACCCCAGUGAUAAGUCACCAAUCACAAUCUGUAUGUACACAAAUAUUAUUAUAGGAGCAUACAUUUGUUUAUAAAUGUAAUUUGCGUCCUUAUCAAUUUGUUUGUUGUUUUUAUUGUUUACCUGACUACAGGAUUUAGUUCUGCAUUUUAUUUUUCCACAUCAGACAAUAUUUAUUUUGUGUAUGAAUGUAGGUUUACAUAUAUGUGUAGACAUUUGAAAAUACAUUUCUGACAUACUGUAGGUACAUAUAUUGGGGUCUUUCAAAAGCAGAAACCUGUCUACGUAAAUAGUGGUCACAAUAUAUAAAGUGAUUUAUGAAUGUAAACAUUUUUAAAAUGUAUUUGUAUUCUUUUGUUAUAUAAACUAAAGACUUAAUGUA